rnacentral:rRNA from 1 species
UGCGGGAAGAAGGCCUUCGGGUUGUAAACCGCUGUCGGGAGUUAAGAAAUGUAAGGAUGUUAAUAGCAUCUUUGCUUGACUAAGGCUCCGGAGGAAGCCACGGCUAACUCUGUGCCAGCAGCCGCGGUAAUACAGAGGCGGCAAGCGUUGUUCGGAAUUAUUGGGCGUAAAGAGCACGUAGGCGGCUGUGUAAGUCGGUUGUGAAAGCCUUCCGCUCAACGGGAGAACGGCAUCCGAUACUGCAUGGCUCGAGUGCGGGAGGGGAGAGUGGAACUUCUGGUGGAGCGGUGAAAUGCGUAGAUAUCAGAAGGAACACCGGCGGCGAAGGCGACUCUCUGGCCCGUAACUGACGCUGAGUGUGCGAAAGCUAGGGGAGCAAACGGGAUUAGAUACCCCGGUAGUCCUAGCCGUAAACGAUGGGCACUAAGUAGAGGGGUUUUAAAA